GCCCCAGGAUGACCCAAAGCUCUUCUACCUCUUUCUCUCUACAUCCCCAGCACAUAAAGGAGCCCUUGACAUGUAGUGGCCCCUCAAUAAGUAUUUUUUUGAAUUAUUGAAUGCUAUGCCUUUAUUUCUUAUUAUACCAGAAAUCUGAGAGGACACAAGAGGCUAGACCUGCCAUCUUACCCCCUCAGGGAGCCUGAGACUGAGCCAACAGAGCACAAAGCAUGCGGCAGGUAGAGACACGUGAUUAUAUCUGGGAGCCCUGAAUCUUGCCAUGCCUGAAGCCAGAGCUGCCCUUGGUCUUCUCACUUCCAUGAGCCAGAGAUAUGGAACAAAGAAUACAAGACUUAGCAGAGAGAAACGUCUACUCCAUGGAGGCACUCAACCAUGAGAACAUUUUUGAAAGAUAGAGAUGGGCGCUGAACGAGCGAGGAAAUGCCUGAGCUGAGCAGACUGGAGCAGGAGACUCUGCUGGCUGGCUUGAUGAAGUCAAGCCGUGUUGAAGAAGCCGCCAUGGCAAGGAGCUGCAAGUAGGCCCCCGUUAUCAUGGGCGGCCUCUAUGGCCUGCAGAUGGAAUGCAGCUGACGGCCUGCCAAAACCGAGGCCCACAGUCUUACCGUGAUAAGAAAGUCAACUCCUCCAGCAAGCUGAAGAAGCUUGGAAGCAGACUUUCCUCCAAUCAAGCUUCCAGAUCAGAACGAACCCAGUGGACACCUUGAGUGCAACCUUACAAGACCCUGAGCAGAGGAGCCAGCUAAGCUGUGUCCAGACCCUUAACCCACAGGAAAUGUGAUAUAAAAAUGUAUACUUUCAAAGCCUCUAAAUUUCUGAUAAUUUGUUACAGCAAUAGAAAACAAAUAUAUCCCCCACUAGACUAUAAGCUCUGUGUGGGCAGGAACCACGUCCAUGGCGUACCCCUCAUCGUACCUCCAGCAACCUACAGCGUGCUUCACAAAUAUUUAUUGACUGGAUGUGCAUCAUCCCUACAACAGUUAUAAGCACUCCAUAAGGAGGAUCAUUUUUACUCGAGUUUUCCUCGAGUGAAUCCAAGAUUCACACAGAAAGAGAAGAGACAGGACUUGAACGAGCAUUUCCUCAGACCGGACCCCAAGCUCACUCUCUCACAUCUGUAGGAACAGUGUGGGCUUUCCAUCCCGGCAGGCCCAGUAGAAGCCUACGGACAUUACUGUCCCUCACCCACACUCACGGCAGACACAUCACUGAUAAAUCCCUGUAUGCUCUCAGGCUGAGUCCAUUGCAAACCUUCUCAACUCAGCAUUUUGGUAGCCACGAGCAAUUGAUCAGAGCUGGCCCAGGAGAGGAAACCUAUUUAUCAUCUGAGCUCUCAGCUCUUAGUUCUCUUCAUGUCUCCGUGCAGCUGAAUUUGGGAUCUAUCCCUAGGAAUGUGCAGGAAAUAAUAGGAAAGCAACGAAAGGCUGGGCAUAGAUAGAGUAGUACCCAGGAAAGAAAAGUCAAGAAAAGAAAAGGGAGCUGGGUGGGGGGGGGGGGGGUGGGCAACAUUCCUAGAACUUUCCCUGCAGAGGAAAGCCCUACAACAUUUCCAGGCAGGAAAUUCCACUAAUGACGCAUGCUACAGCUGGGUUCUCUCAUGGCUGAAUUCCCUAAGUUAGCUGAUGGAUUCUUCCUUGCACAGAAAUUGGAUUCAACAAUUCAAAUCCUUUUUUAAAUUAUUAUCACUGCCAUGCCACCCCGGCUGAUGACUACACCAGGGGAGCAAUGGACUGAACAUUUGCCAUGGCUGAUAUUUUUGUUGUUUGGACAAUUAAGGUGUUAUGUUUGCCUGAAGGGUUAUAGUUUUGAUAUUUUAAACAUUAAUCUCCAGAAAAGAAAGCUAACUGUUCAAACAAGGAAUACCUACGCUGCCAUAAAUAUGAUAGAGCCUUGAAGUAAGAAAAGAGGUUGAAAAGUGAGGAAAACAGUCAAUGAAACAGUUGCCUGGCUUUGACUUUAUUUGUUAGUAAAUUGAGUCAAUCCACUUUGCUCUAGGCAUUAAAUAGACCAGGGUUACCAAAGAUAUUAUGCUGACAAUACCACCUCUCCUGCCAUGGCAGGCAUUACUAAUUAAUCACAUCAUUCCUUCCUCCCUGAGUCCCAGCUUGGUCUUGGGAACCUUCCCAACAUGGAGCUCCAAGCAGCCAAUAACAAUCUAUCAUGUUGGAUCUCCAGGCAAAACUACUUGCCGUCCAAGAUUAUUGGCACAGCCCCAACUCACAAGUUAGCAAACAAACAAACAAACAAACAAACAAAACCAGUAGAGUGAAGCUUUAAGAUUAAGAACACAGAAACUGGACUAAGAGUGUCUGGAUUGGAAGCCCAUCUCUGCUAUCCAUUAGCCAUUCCAUGCCUCAGUUAUGUCAGCCAUAAAAUGGGGAUAAUAACAGCAUCUACCUCACUAAGCUACAAUGUCGAUGACAUGAGUUCAAAUACAUACAGAUCCUGGAAGAGUACAUAGCAAUGGCACCGGCUGUUCUUAUAUUUUGAUUCCCUUUGUGCCAUGUACAAAAUCUAGCUCUUCUAUCGGACCAUAGGUUGUUCAAAGGUAAGCAACAUGCUUUUUCUUCUUUGCAUCCCCAGCGUUUAAUACACAAUAGGAGCUGAAUCAGACUCUUCUAGCCAGACCGACAGACUCACUAUUUCCACCCUUGCACCUUGUGCAUUUCUGCUUCCGCCUCUUCCACAGCUUCUCGCCUCCCCCACUGCUUCCCAUCCCCCCACCAGCCUCCAUGUCUUUACGGCUGCCCUUCAUCUUCUUCAUCCCUCUACUCUCCCCACCAAACCCACCCCGCCAAUAUUCACCUGAUCUCUAGCCGUCCUUCAGAGCCUACCCACCUGGAGUCCUUAUUCAUCUGUUCACCAAAUAUUUCCAGCUCCCUGCUUUCUGGGCUCGUAGUGGAAUUUUACUUCCUGCCCUGCCCCCUGUGGUGGGGUGCAACCAUAUUAAAAGGUUGGCCCAUGAGUGGAGAAUUUGAUUGCUGGUGUGAGACCCUCCCAAUCUCAGAUCCGUUUCCUCUGCCACAACAAGAAGCAAAGAUCCAACCUGAGGCUGCUCUGUCUGUCCUGUCUGGAGUGAAAUUAGGGGAGCAGAGCCACCAGCUGACCCAUGACGGACCAAUAGCUUGAAUGAGAAAUAAAUCUUCAUUUUUUUUAA